rnacentral:rRNA from 1 species
UACGUAGGGUGCAAGCGUUUGUCCGGAAUUAUUGGGCGUAAAGAGCUCGUAGGCGGUUUGUUGCGUCGGCUGUGAAAUCCCGAGGCUCAACCUCGGGUCUGCAGUCGAUACGAGCAAACUAGAGUGUUGCAGGGGAGACUGGAAUUCCUGGUGUAGCGGUGAAAUGCGCAGAUAUCAGGAGGAACACCGGGUGGCGAAGGCGGGGUCUCUGGGCAACAACUGACGCUGAGGAGCGAAAGCGUGGGGAGCGAACAGG